rnacentral:rRNA from 1 species
GACGAACGCUGGCGGCGUGCCUAAUACAUGCAAGUAGAACGCUGAAGGAGGAGCUUGCUUCUCUGGAUGAGUUGCGAACGGGUGAGUAACGCGUAGGUAACCUGCCUGGUAGCGGGGGAUAACUAUUGGAAACGAUAGCUAAUACCGCAUAAUAGUAGAUGUUGCAUGACAUUUGCUUAAAAGGUGCAAUUGCAUCACUACCAGAUGGACCUGCGUUGUAUUAGCUAGUUGGUGGGGUAACGGCUCACCAAGGCGACGAUACAUAGCCGACCUGAGAGGGUGAUCGGCCACACUGGGACUGAGACACGGCCCAGACUCCUACGGGAGGCAGCAGUAGGGAAUCUUCGGCAAUGGACGGAAGUCUGACCGAGCAACGCCGCGUGAGUGAAGAAGGUUUUCGGAUCGUAAAGCUCUGUUGUAAGAGAAGAACGUGUGUGAGAGUGGAAAGUUCACACUGUGACGGUAUCUUACCAGAAAGGGACGGCUAACUACGUG